UGAACAUAACAUCCAGACGGUGUGUACCUGACGAUAAUUUCAACGUAAGCCGGUCAAUUUCACUUGACGAUAUUUUUAACGUAAGCCAGCCAAUUCUCAGUCCUUUGAAAAAUACAGAACCUGAACACACUUAUGACAUCCUCGUGAUAAUAUUCGCAUCAGUUGCCAUAGUAAUAACUGGUAAUUUAAUUUAUUUCAUAAGAAGAUUUUGGAAUACGUGUUCCAAUCCAGGAUCAAAGAAAAGGCGCAAGUAUUCAAUGGAGAUUGAAAACAAUUCUAUGUUGGACUCGAUAAAUCAAAACAAUUAAUAUUGUUAACUUAUUCCAUAUUUAUAAAUUGUUUCUAUUUAUUUAAUUUUAUAAAGUCUCAUUGCAAUGAAUUACUUGGAGUGAUAUUGUAUGCAUAAAUAUUUGUUUUUGUAGUAGUUAUGCCUGUGCAAAACUAUAUUUUCGUGCUUUGUAAAUUGUAAUACAAUAUGAGGUAUUUUGGCUGUUUUAGUUGUAGGAUUGAUGCCUUUCGACAGAGACU